rnacentral:sRNA from 1 species
UUGUGUGAGGGAUGGAAGUGGCAUCCUUUUAUAUAGUCCCGAUGCGUCGGGACUAUAUAAAAGAUACAACGUACAGCCCGACCCGAA